CCGAGAUGAGUUCUCCCUGAGACUUUAAGUCUCCUGAAGGAACGUUGAAGACGACGACGUUGAUAGGCCGGGUGUGUAAGCGCAGCGAUGCGUUGAGCUAACCGGUACUAAUGAACCGUGAGGCUUAACCUUACAACGCCGAAG
rnacentral:rRNA from 1 species